AGGAGAUGGACUGGAUUUCUGAGAUGGGACUUGGAUGCAACUUCCAGCAACGUGGUCAUUCAUGGAAGCCUGGCUGGAAGAGUGACCUAAAAAGUACUUCUGUCUUUGCAGCAAGAUGAAUGCUAACUAACCAACACUUGGCAGAAACAGCCUCAUGACAAGAGAACUGGAAGUGUUUUUCUCUGAAAUAAGUCCUGUACUGCAGAGCAUGGCAGACAUAGGGCUUCACGAAGAACAGAAUACUGCACCGGGCCCUUGGUCAGCGCUGCAGUGACAGGAGAACUCUGAAGUCCGAGUCCCCGGCCUGCUCGCUCUGCUGUCAAUACUG